rnacentral:tRNA from 1 species
GCCCAUGGAUAGUUUAGCUAGUAGAGCAUCAGACUUUUAAUCUGAGGGUCCAGGGUUCAAGUCCCUGUUCAGGCA